ensembl:lncRNA
GGAAUCUAUAGCUGCCCUGGUCCCCGGUGGCUGGCCCCCCGCCCUCGCCCCAGCUGGGCUCCUUCUCAUGCAAAGCAAAGGGGCCAAGAGAAGGGGGCUGGGGAGAGGUUGUAGGGGACCUGCAGGGCGACAGCUGGACUUGGCGGCUGGCCCUGGCUGCUGGCCCUUUCCAAAUCCGAGGCUCGCGCCUUCCUCCGCUAUUUCAUUUCAGCUCUGCAUUAAACCAAAGUCGCCCUGAGCAAGAGCAACAACCUCCUCUCUCCACCUACACUGCCGUAGUGUCCUGGUCACUCACUGUCCCCGUCCUUGAGUACACAAGGUCCUACUUCAGGUCCUUCAAAGUCGCAAAGACCCACAGCCACUUUUCACAGCCCAAGAUGUGUGAAUUCUGAACCGGUGCUGAGAGGUUCAAUGUGGAGGUUCAGCCAUCACUCAGUGGCCGAAGAAUCCUCAGCCCCACUCCCAAGACACCCUCUUGAAAAGGUUCCAGCAAGCUUAGGAAGUGGCUUUCACAGCUCUGGUUUCUCUUCUGAGAAGCUCCCUGAAAAUCAGCCAGAGAAGA